AGAGCGAACGCUGGCGGCAGGCCUAACACAUGCAAGUCGAGCGCCCGUAGCAAUACGGGAGCGGCAGACGGGAUAGUAACACGUGGGAACGCGCCCUUCGGUUCGGAAUAACUCAGGGAAACUUGAGCUAAUACCGGAUACGCCCUUACGGGGAAAGAUUUAUUGCCGAAGGAACGGCCCGCGUCCGAUUAGCUAGUUGGUGAGGUAAUGGCUCACCAAGGCGACGAUCGGUAGCUGGUCUGAGAGGAUGACCAGCAUCACUGGGACUGAGACACGGCCCAGACUCCUACGGGAGGCAGCAGUGGGGAAUAUUGGACAAUGGGCGCAAGCCUGAUCCAGCCAUGCCGCGUGGAUGAUGAAGGCCUUAGGGUUGUAAAGUCCUUUUAACGGGGAAGAUAAUGACGGUACCCGUAGAAUAGGCCCCGGCUAACUUCGUGCCAGCAGCCGC
rnacentral:rRNA from 1 species